AUGAGGAAGCCACGCCUUUCCAAGGCUAAGCCACGCCCACUCAGCCUGAUCUCUGUUCCACUCCAGCUUCCACUUCGAACACCACAUAGAGUCAUCAGGAUGACAACUACCACAACUUACCCCUUCCCUUGUGAACAGGUCUGGGAAGAACCUACAACCCUUUCAAAGAAAUGGAGCUGCAGGAUCAGGAUGAACUUAUCAGAUAAAGAUCGGAUAUAUGACUCCUUUCACAGAAAGAAGCAAGAGCUGGAAGAACUGGGUGAGAAGGAUGAGUCUGAACUAGAUAUUUAUCCAAGUCAUCUGGGAAGAGAAGAAAGUGUCCUGGAAGAAAGUGCCAAUGACCAGGAAACAGUGUGUGAAGAGGAAAGCACAAAAAGUGUGUGUUCCAGUGCUGUUACAAAGAAGAAGAGGAAAAAAAAGAGGUUAGAAAUGAGCUCUAAAAGGGCUUGUGACGUCUGGCUGGGGUUGGGAGAAGACAAUUCCAAUGCUCUUGGAAACAGAUGA
rnacentral:lncRNA from 1 species